ACACACUUUAUUUUAUUCCAUGGAACAAGCUAAAACAUUUGAAUUAAACUGACAAAUUUAAUUAAAUUUACAGAAGUCAUUGCUCCUUCGACAGCUUGUUGAAUCAGUGUGUUUGUAGUUGUCAUGACAACGAUGCCACAGCGUAUGGGAUGCCGACAACAGAGACGCUCCAUGAGCGUUCUGGUUGUUUUUGAGCGACUGUCAAGGAAAAAUAAGGCCCACCAGCAGCUACAUGCGUGGUUAGGAGUCUGACGCUAAACGCUCACACCUUUCUGAAGUUUAGGAGGAAGAUAGACUCUGUAUCUGCCAGAGGAGCGGAGCGUUCAGUGUCGUCAAACAUCUGAAGAGACAAUUCAUCAAAGGAUGUUCUGGAAACGCCUGCGGCGAGGUGACGCGCUUGGAGUGGAGCAGCUCGACCAGGAAGACGCUGCGUCUUCGUCGCUGGACGGCGUGAUUUCAAUGGACGGAAGCUGAAGGCUACUGCGGGACAACAAGUCGUCAAACUGUGUCACAGAGACGGGAGCUCUGCUGAAAGCUGCUGCAGUAAAU